AUUGAACGCUGGCGGCAUGCCUUACACAUGCAAGUCGAACGGUAACGGGCCUUCGGGUGCCGACGAGUGGCGAACGGGUUAGUAAUACAUCGGAACGUGCCCGAUCGUGGGGGAUAACGAGGCGAAAGCUUUGCUAAUACCGCAUACGAUCUACGGAUGAAAGCAGGGGACCGCAAGGCCUUGCGCGGACGGAGCGGCCGAUGGCAGAUUAGGUAGUUGGUGGGAUAAAAGCUUACCAAGCCGACGAUCUGUAGCUGGUCUGAGAGGAUGAUCAGCCACACUGGGGCUGAGACACGGCCCAGACUCCUAGGGGGGGCAGGAGUGGGGAAUUUUGGAAAAUGGGCGAAAGCCUGAUCCAGCCAUGCCGCGUGAAGGAGGAAGGCCUUCGGGUUGUAAACUGCUUUUGUAGGGAACAAAAAGCCUUUUUUUAAAACAGGGGGGUCAUGACGGUACCGUAAGAAUAAGCACCGGCUAACUACGU
rnacentral:rRNA from 1 species